GAGUUCAAUGGAAAAUCUUUGAUAAUAUUAUGUCCUUGUACAUAAUAUUAUCAAAGAUUUUCCAUUGAACUC